AUCUUGGUUCAGGACGAACGCUGGCGGCGUGCCUAAUACAUGCAAGUCGAACGGUCUUUCUAUGGAAGCUUGCUUCCACUGAGAAGAUAGUGGCGAACGGGUGAGUAACACGUGGGUAACCUGCCCAUAAGAGGGGGAUAACAUCCGGAAACGGGUGCUAAUACCGCAUAGUUUUCUUGAUCGCAUGAUUGAGAAAGGAAAGACGGCCUUUGUGCUGUCGCUUAUGGAUGGACCCGCGGCGUAUUAGUUAGUUGGUGAGGUAACGGCUCACCAAGACGAUGAUACGUAGCCGACCUGAGAGGGUGAUCGGCCACAUUGGGACUGAGACACGGCCCAAACUCCUACGGGAGGCAGCAGUAGGGAAUCUUCCGCAAUGGACGAAAGUCUGACGGGGCAACGCCGCGUGAGUGAAGAAAGGUUUUCGGAUCGUAAAACUCUGUUGUCAGAGAAGAACAAGUUGGAGAGUAACUGCUCCAGCCUUGACGGUAUCUGACCAGAAAGCCACGGCUAACUACGUGCCAGCCGCCGC
rnacentral:rRNA from 1 species